UCACCUACGGGGCGCAGCAGUGAGGAAUAUUGGUCAAUGGGAGAGAUCCUGAACCAGCCAAGCCGCGUGAGGGAAGACGGCCCUAUGGGUUGUAAACCUCUUUUGUCGGAGAACAAAACCCGGGACGUGUCCCGGACUGCGUGUAUCCGAAGAAAAAGCAUCGGCUAACUCCGUGCCAGCAGCCGCGGUAAUACGGAGGAUGCGAGCGUUAUCCGGAUUUACUGGGUGUAAAGGGAGCGUAGACGGCAGCACAAGUCUGGAGUGAAAUCCCGGGGCUUAACCCCGGAACUGCUUUGGAAACUGUG
rnacentral:rRNA from 1 species